ensembl:lncRNA
UUUUUUUUUUUUUUUUUUUUUUUUGAGAUAGAGUCUUGCUCUGUCACCCAGGCUGGGGUGCAGUGGUGCAAUCUUGGUUCACUGCAACCUCUGCCUCCCAGGUUCAAGCGAUUCUUGUGCCUCAGCGUCCUGGGUAGCUGAGAUUACAGGUGUGUACCACCACGCCAGGCUAACUUUUAAACUUUUAGUAGAGAUGGGGUUUCACCAUGUUGGCCAGGUUGGUCUUGAACACCUGACCUCAGGCGAUCCGCCUGCCUCAGCCUCCCAAAGUGUUGAGAUUACAGGCGUGAGCCACUGCACCCGGCCUCUUUUUCUUUUCCUGAUAUAUGUUUUUACUUUUUUGGGGUAAAAGCCUAAGAGGAAUUGCCGGGUCAUAGGGAAGGUAUUUGUUUAGCUUUAUAAUAAACUGUCAAACAGUUCUCCAAAGUGGCUGUCCCGUAUUUAUGCACAUUCUCUUUUAUAGUGUUUUGCAUCUGUCAACAAUAGUAACCCUAACAGCAGUUAGAUAUUAAGCUCCUAUCGCAAGGCAGAACCCAGAAACAGCUGUCUUAUGCUCCCUGGACUUUGGUUCCUUAGCAGCGAGGGCCAGAGAAUGAGUGAGGCACUGCAUGGACGAGGCGGCAAAAACCACAUUUUCCCCAGCGUCCUUCUCCACUUCUUCAGUCAUAGACACCCCACAGCCCAGCCUCCCUUGCAGCUAAAUGAAAUCAUGUGAUUCAGCUGUCAGUGGGGUCAUGUAGCAGAAAGUUGACCAGUGAGCACCAUUCCCCCUCCCUUUCUCUAUCCUGCUGCUGGGAACAUGGAUGUGACAGCUAAAUCCCCAUGUCAGAGCUCCAGGAAGAGGGCCAACGCGAGAUGCAGGAGCAGAAAACUGGAGGCAGCUUGGUUCCUAAGGGCUUUGCGAUCACCCCAGGUGCCACCCCUGAUGCUUAGGGGAAAGGCUGCCUUGCAUUAGCCCUGGCUGGUGCACACAGGCCUGUGUCCAUGCUGGGAACUCCAGGCUGGUAGCCAGGCUUCCUGCUUUAGCACAGACUUUGUGCCUGCAGGUGAACACUACACAGGUGGGAUGGAAGGGGCAUGAGUGCAGAGUCUUCUGACACAUGCUAGGAGGCCAUUUCCAUGAUGACAAAUCCCUGGUGUCCACUACAGGGAAGGAGGAUCUGGGAGCCACUUACAGGCCAUCUGGGACCUGCUUCUGUCAGCCUAACUACUCCUGGCUGCUAGACAUACCUGGGGGCCUGGCUGGGCUGGGACAGUGCCUGGACUUCUAGCGCCUAGGGCCUGAGGCAACUCCAGGAGGAUGGAGGUGACACCAAUGAGGACAGCUAAGGUGGGGUCAGUCAGGAAGGGUUCACCUCACCUGGCAGCCAGACAGUGCCAGGGGUGCUCCAGGGAACCCCAGCCAGCAGGGGGGUGGCCCAGAGCCUCAGCCUGGCAGCAGACUUAGCAGGGGUUGCUCUCGCUUCCCUCCCUUUGCCCAAGGGCACAGUAUCUCUGGAACAGGUGCUGGUGUCCACCUUAUGCUUGGAUGCCUGGUGAAAAGGGAGGAAGUCUAGGGGGUUCUCACCCUGUGUUCUCGGGCUGUGCCUCUGAGCCAGGCCUGCGGACACUGCUUCCAGCCAGGGCCGCACUGGUUAGUUGGCUUUAUCACUUUGCUUGUUAGUCAUCAAGGUGGUUCCAAAUCCCUUGGAGGACUCAGGCGAAUCUGCCAAUAAGCCACUGACAAAAUGCCCUUGCGGGGUCUGACUGCUUCAGCCUCUUUCCCACCCUCUUCAUUCCCUAAACACACCAGAUAGUGCCUGCCACAGGGCCUUUGCAUGGCAGCCUCUUCUACCAACACCCUGCCCUUUUCCUCUCAAGGGUAGCCUCUCUGU